rnacentral:rRNA from 1 species
GCUUCUUAAGUCUGAUGUGAAAGCCCGCAGCUCAACUGCGGAGGGUCAUUGGAAACUGGGAAGCUUGAGUGCAGAAGAGGAGAGUGGAAUUCCACGUGUAGCGGUGAAAUGCGUANAGAUGUGGAGGAACACCAGUGGCGAAGGCGGCUCUCUGGUCUGUAACUGACGCUGAGGCGCGAAAGCGUGGGGAGCAAACAGGAUUAGAUACCCCGGUAGUCCACGCCGUAAACGAUGAGUGCUAAGUGUUAGAGGGUUUCCGCCCUUUAGUGCUGCAGCUAACGCAUUAAGCACUCCGCCUGGGGAGUACGGCCGCAAGGCUGAAACUCAAAGGAAUUGACGGGGGCCCGCACAAGCGGUGGAGCAUGUGGUUUAAUUCGAACAACGCGAANAACCUUACCAGGUCUUGACAUCCUCUGCUACUUCUAGAGAUAGAAGGUUCCCCUUCGGGGGACGGAGUGACAGGUGGUGCAUGGUUGUCGUCAGCUCGUGUCG